rnacentral:rRNA from 1 species
UACGGAGGGUGCAAGCGUUAUCCGGAUUCACUGGGUUUAAAGGGUGCGUAGGCGGGCAGGUAAGUCAGUGGUGAAAUCUCCGAGCUUAACUCGGAAACUGCCGUUGAUACUAUUUGUCUUGAAUAUUGUGGAGAUAAGCGGAAUAUGUCAUGUAGCGGUGAAAUGCUUAGAUAUGACAUAGAACAUCGAUUGCGAAGGCAGCUCGCUACGCUAUUAUUGACACUGAGGCACGAAAGCGUGGGGAUCAAACAGG